GUAGUUAGCCGGGGCUUCCUCCUCAAGUACCGUCACUUCCUUCGUCCUUGAGGACAAAAGUUUACAAUCCGAAAACCUUCUUCCUUCACGCGGCGUUGCUGGGUCAGGCUUUCGCCCAUUGCCCAAUAUUCCCCACUGCUGCCUCCCGUAGGAGUCUGGACCGUGUCUCAGUUCCAGUGUGGCCGAUCAGCCUCUCAGCUCGGCUACCCAUCGUUGACUAGGUGGGCCGUUACCCCGCCUACUAUCUAAUGGGACGCGAACCCCUCCUAAUGCGGAUUGCUCCUUUGACCUCAUCCCGAUGCCGGGUCGUGGUCUUAUGCGGUAUUAGCACUUGUUUCCAGGUGUUAUCCCCCUCAUUAGGUCAGGUUGUUCACGCGUUACUCACCCGUUCGCCACUCAGAUAAAUCCGAAAAUCUAUCUCCGUUCGACUUGCAUGUGUUAGGCACGCCGCCACGCGUCGUCUCGAGCACUAAUACAACUACUCGA
rnacentral:rRNA from 1 species